ensembl:lncRNA
AGGGAGUGGAAUAAAAUCAGGUUGGGAAGGUAGAUUAGAGGCCCAUUAGAGAAGACUGUGAAUGCCAGCCCAAGGACUAGACCAUUUUACCUAGGAUGCUCUCCCUCUUCCUUCUUAAAUGGAAGCAAUAAUAACCCCCGUGUUGUUGUGAGGAUAAAAUGAGAUUAUAUUUUAAGUGCUUCGAAAUCCUUAAAACAUAAUGCAAAUGGGGGCAGCUGGGUAGUUCAGUGGACUGAGAGUCAGGCCCAGAGAUGGGAGGUCCUGGGUUCAAAUGUGACCUCAGACACUUCCCAGCUAUGUCAUCCUGGCCAAGUCACUUAGUGGUCUGUCUCUGUUUCCUCAUCUGUAAAAUGAUCUGGAGGAGGAAAUGGCAAAACCCUCCAGCAUCUUUGAAAAGAAAACCUCCAAUGAGGUGACAAGCGGCAGCUAUGCCUGAAAUGACUAUGGGUCUGGGGCUCCCCCGUCUCCUGAGAGUAGUAGCCAGGCAGCAUCCAUCCGUCUGCUGUAAGUCUGCUGAGCUAGUACCGAGCUCCCCAAAGCGUUCCUUUGGGCUGGGGGGCGGGGUGGGGGGAGGGGUUGUUGGCUCUCACCUCAGGAGCAGGAAGUCCCCCCCUCCAGUCAUGCCCCCCCAUGUGGGGGAGGGGGGCACCGCCAUGCCUUGGGCUCAUGCCUUGGGCUCUCUCGGGCUAGAUCGGAGAGGAGAGCAUUUAUCCACUGCACCCCACCGUGCCAGACUGGGAGCAGAAGUACAAGUGCUAGCGACAGUCCCUACCCUUCGAGAGCCUCUCACCCCGCCAAGAGAGCUAGGAGGAAGUAGGGCAAGCGAACAAUUCAGGCCCAGACGAGAGUGCGAGAGGCAGCGUGGCGGGGUCUUUCACACAACAGAACCCAGAAAAACCUCCCGAUGUACCGCCGGAGCCCAGAGAACGUGGGAGAAUCCGUCGCCUUUGAUCCCAGGAGGCGGGCUUCUGCGGAGCGAGCUCUCCCGGCCUCGGAUCCGUGCCCGCUGGGGCAGAUGCUCUUCCAACGAGGGUGAGCGCGGCUCCCGGCUGCCGUCCUUCGUUUGCCAAGAGGACCGGCGGCGGACAGCUUGGCUUAUCCGUUACCUGGAUGUCCGGGAGGCCGAAGGGCUCCUUGCUGGUCCCUCCCUCGCUAACAGGAGGGAUUCCAUGUUGGAUGACUGACCCGCCAGGGGGGCUUUCCUGCCACUAACAAAUUCUUUUGUACCCAGAGAGCAGCUAAGUGAUGCAGUGCACAGAGUGCUGAUCCUAGAAUCAGGAGGACCUGAGUUCAGAUCUGCCGAGAAAAUCCCAAAUGGGGGCAUAAAGGGUCAGACUUGAUGGACUAAACUAUAAAACAGGCACUUUUAAAAAGGCAUUUUUAAAAUUUGUCUUCCUCUCUGGCAUUGUGUGAUGGUUUUCUUUUGUCUACUUUUUUGAGAUUGGGCCUCCCAGUCUCACUCAAACUGGAAGUUCAGCGGCCAGUCAUGGAUCUAAUCCAAUUGCUUUGGCUUGAACUGCUUGUGCCUUGGGCCAAUUUACUCCUCCUCGGAGUUCACCCCUUUGGUGCCAUACUUCAGGUCCAUAUCCAAUUCCCUUAACCCAAUGUAGCUUAGAGCUCCUGAACUCAAGCAAUCCAUUAGUCUCAGUGUCCCAAUAGUGGGAAUAAUGGGGGAACAUCACUAGACUUACCUGCUUAAAUUUUGUUUUGUUUUAAGAAAUGGGAAAAAAAAUAAGCUUACUUGAACUAAAGUAGGAAGAAAAAAUGGGUUGCUCAUGUUUUGGGAGUCAUUUUUUUUUUGAAGUGAGCUUUGGGAUUAUUUUUGAAAGCCUUAGGUAGAUGAGGAAAGAGGAAAUUUUAGGAGAGUGGACUAGUUUAGAACAACAGAAGUUCUUAACCUGAUGUAUUUAAUAGGGUCUAUGAUCUUGGAUUGGGGGGAAAAAAUCAUACCAUUUUUACUAACCUUUACCUGAAAUGUAGCAUUUUCCAGUCACAAAUGUGGGCAAAUGUGCAUUAUUUUGAGAUGGGCUCCAUAGAUGCCACCAGACUAUCAAAGAUGUCCAUGACACCAAAAACUCCUUGCAUAGAAGAAAAUGAAGUCAGAGAAGAGAGAGAAAGGAACCCCCAAAGUCUCAGCACGAAUUGUGGUCCCUUGAAAAAAUCAGGGUAGUAACCACAGUGGGUUUGGUUUUCUUGAGAGAUGGGUUGCCGGGUGUGGGCUCCCUUGGAUCUGUGUAUUCCUCUCCCAUGAAGUGAAGGAAGCUGGGAUGAGGCAGCUACGGUUGGCCCCUCCUCUCCACCCCCAACCCCCCCCCCCCCCCCAAAAAAAAAAAACCAUAAAACUUCUUUUUCUGUACCCAACCCAAAACAAUGUGGACCAACUCAAAAACAUCCUUCUGUGUUGGGGAUGUUGACUUCAUCCUGAGUCCUUGUGUAGGAGACAAAAUAAAUAGUUCAGCUUUCAUAAGGGGGAGGCUUUC